AUUUUUCAAAUACCCUGUGAAGGUAGCUCUAUUGUGACACCCACCGAUAGAGUAGAAAACGGUGGCUUGGAGCAGUUAGGCAACUUGCCCAUACUUCUAAUCACUAUUAGACUCGUUCAAGAUGAUUUGUGAGCAGGGGCCAAAUUGUGAUUGCACACCAGUGGGUGUAUUGAGUGUGUGUGAGAGAGAGAGAGGGACAGAGAGAGAUGAGUGUGUCAGACAUGGCCCCAGAGGAGAGGCCAGGCAACAGCUGUGGACACUGGGCAAGGCAGGGCCCAACAAAGCCUGAGUCAGCCACCAGGACAUCUCUGCCAACCUGGCUUCCUAGCACCGCAGUGGCAGCCUAUGCCAGGGCCCCCAGCUAAGAUUCCUCUCAACCCUAGUAUGGCCCCAAGCAAGCUCCCAUCUCAUGCUUAAAGCUGGGCCAGGGAUGAAGGCUGGCAGGAGGCUUGCCUGGCCUCCAGGUUACCGAAGGGAAAGCCCCUAUUGUGGCCCCCCUAGGCAGGGAGGGUACAUGAGAGCUGUGGAAGGGGGUCCAGCAGUGAUUUCAGUCCCUUGUGGCCUUAAACAGAACCACCUGGAGGGUGUGUGUGUAUAUAGGGGGGCAGCCAACAGUUCCCAUGCCCACCCUUGCCUUUGGGAUGUGACUCAGGCAGAUGCCAUGCCAGGCAUCUGCAAGCUGGGCUUGCUCCCACCCUGGGAGGUGAGGAGGAGCCCCUUCAGCCCCACCCACAUCCUCAUCCUUAGCCCUACUCUCUGGGCCCUAAACUGCAAGAAAGGAAUUCUCCAGAGGACUGUCUGCUAUGUUUGAGGCACAGCCCUUCUACCACCCAGAGAACUCUGCACAUUCUGCCCCUUCAGGAAUCAGGUAUUGGCUAGAGAGAUUAAGAGCUUGGGAUUCUAGACCUGCUCAUUCUCUCUGGGAAAGUCAUCUUCCCGUUUGGCCUUAGUUUCCUGAUUGGCAAAACAGGAAUAUUGUGCUGAAGGGAUCCAGGCAUUGCUAACAGAGCAGCAAACCAUCUGGGCAAGCAGGCAACAGAGACAUAUGAGAGCUGGGGUUAGAGAAGUGUCAGGGUUAAGUUGAUGUUUGAACUGAGUUUUGAAGAAUGGGAGGGAGGCUUUCUGAUGAGGGUCUUGAGAAGGGGAAAGCAUUUUCUAAGCAGAGGGCAUAC
rnacentral:lncRNA from 1 species